rnacentral:RNase_P_RNA from 1 species
GUGGUGGAGCGUGACAGGUCGCGGUCCGCUUCGGGCGGACCGAGGAAAGUCCGAGCUCCAUAGGGCAGACUGCCAGGUAACGCCUGGGCGCCGCGAGGCGACGGACAGGGCCACAGAAAAGACACCGCCCACUUCGGUGGGUAAGGGUGAAAUGGUGGGGUAAGAGCCCACCGCGCGGCUGGCAACAGUCGUGGCACGGCAACCCCCAGUCGGAGCAAGGCCAAAUAGGCGGCGAGGCCCGGCCCGGGCCGUCAGAGCCGCGGGUAGGCCGCUCGAGGUGGCGGGUGACCGCCAUCCCAGAUAGAUGACCUUCCGGCGCUCCGCGUCGAACAGAACUCGGCUUACGGCUCCGCCACCUCU